GGAAGUAUUCGAUUUCGGACGCAGCCAGAGAGAGAGAGCGCCCCUCCUCCGGCCGCGCGCUCACACUCUCACAGUCUUCAAACUGUCUUGCUCUCCCUCCCUCACGCUUAUUAAUUAAAAUUGAUAUUACCAUCAAAAUCAAUUGAGAAUUGACACGAUGGUAAUAGGUCGGAAGACCUUGCACAUGUGGGUGCGCAGAUCAAAAUGUAUAAAACAUAGCCCAACCAAAUUACACACAUCUAUUGACGUUUGAAUGGAGUCUGUAGCUAAAAGUAUGCAGGAAUAAUGUAUAUAUUUUGAAAAGCUGGAAAAAUUGUAUAAUAAUAAAAAAACCCCGAUACAAUAACAAUAGGGUCCUCUAGGCAAGGGCUGGAGUCCUCGCCCUCUUGCCUUUCGGCUCGGUCCCUAACUAACACUCUUUUUUUUUUUUUUUAAAUUGUCAUGAUUUGGGUUACACUUGCAUCUGAUUUUUAUUGAACACCUGAUCUAUUUUUUCCAUGAAUCAGGACAACACAGUUGAAAGGCGGAGAGAAAUUGCCAUUCGCUGCCUCAAAGUCUAUUUUGGAGAGGAGGAGGAGGACCUUUUCAAACAGUACCGCGAUGUGGAGGAGCUCGACGCAGACCUUCCGAUGCAAGUGAUGAAGAUUGCCAUCAUCGGUGAUGGACGUGCAACCAUCGUAGUAGAGGGAACCAAGAUCCUGCAGGGGAUUGAUGUCGCCAGAUCCUGUGCUUUGCUGAUGGGGGUAAUCUAUGCUCUUAACCUUAGCUAUCCCAAGCAGUUGAAAUUUACCUUUGAGGCAUUCCAGAAGCUCUGCCUUGAGCUCAAUGGACAAAAAGCCAGCUCUAAAGUAAUGAAUCUCAAGUAUGGUAUGUUCUAGAGCUUGAUUGACCUUGCAUGAGGGAGAAGCUCACAACACACACACACACACACACACACACACACACACACACGUGUUCUUUUGUUUCUAUGAUAGUAUCAAUACCUACUGAGUGAAGUCCAAAUCAGUGAAAGUUAUCAGUAUAGAAAAGGAUGAUCUUUGUUCUCUGAGGGUGUGAGAG
ensembl:lncRNA